rnacentral:rRNA from 1 species
AUUGAACGCUGGCGGCAUGCCUUACACAUGCAAGUCGAACGGCAGCGGGGACUUCGGUCCGCCGGCGAGUGGCGAACGGGUGAGUAAUGCAUCGGAACGUACCCGGAAGUGGGGGAUAACGUAGCGAAAGUUACGCUAAUACCGCAUAUUCUGUGAGCAGGAAAGAGGGGGAUCUUCGGACCUCUUGCUUUCGGAGCGGCCGGUGUCAGAUUAGCUAGUUGGUGAGGUAAAGGCUCACCAAGGCGACGAUCUGUAGCGGGUCUGAGAGGAUGAUCCGCCACACUGGAACUGAGACACGGUCCAGACUCCUACGGGAGGCAGCAGUGGGGAAUUUUGGACAAUGGGCGCAAGCCUGAUCCAGCCAUGCCGCGUGAGCGAAGAAGGCCUUCGGGUUGUAAAGCUCUUUCGGCCGGGAAGAAAUCGCAUGGAUUAUUACUCUGUGCGGAUGACGGUACCGGCAUAAGAAGCACCGGCUAACUACGUGCCAGCCGCCGCCGUAACAC